GACGAACGCUGGCGGCGUGCUUAACACAUGCAAGUCGAACGGAAAGGCCCUGCUUUUGUGGGGUGCUCGAGUGGCGAACGGGUGAGUAACACGUGAGUAACCUGCCCUUGACUUUGGGAUAACUUCAGGAAACUGGGGCUAAUACCGGAUAGGAGCUCCUGCUGCAUGGUGGGGGUUGGAAAGUUUCGGCGGUUAGGGAUGGACUCGCGGCUUAUCAGCUUGUUGGUGGGGUAGUGGCUUACCAAGGCUUUGACGGGUAGCCGGCCUGAGAGGGUGACCGGCCACAUUGGGACUGAGAUACGGCCCAGGCUCCUACGGGAGGCAGCAGUGGGGAAUAUUGCACAAUGGGCGGAAGCCUGAUGCAGCAACGCCGCGUGCGGGAUGACGGCCUUCGGGUUGUAAACCGCUUUCGCCUGUGACGAAGCGUGAGUGACGGUAAUGGGUAAAGAAGCACCGGCUAACUACGUG
rnacentral:rRNA from 1 species